rnacentral:piRNA from 1 species
UCUGUCACUUUUAGGUAGAGAGGCCAAAU